AGAGUUUGAUCAUGGCUCAGAUUGAACGCUGGCGGCAGGCCUAACACAUGCAAGUCGAACGGUAGCACAGAGGAGCUUGCUCCUUGGGUGACGAGUGGCGGACGGGUGAGUAAUGUCUGGGAAACUGCCCGAUGGAGGGGGAUAACUACUGGAAACGGUAGCUAAUACCGCAUAACGUCGCAAGACCAAAGAGGGGGACCUUCGGGCCUCUUGCCAUCGGAUGUGCCCAGAUGGGAUUAGCUAGUAGGUGGGGUAACGGCUCACCUAGGCGACGAUCCCUAGCUGGUCUGAGAGGAUGACCAGCCACACUGGAACUGAGACACGGUCCAGACUCCUACGGGAGGCAGCAGUGGGGAAUAUUGCACAAUGGGCGCAAGCCUGAUGCAGCCAUGCCGCGUGUAUGAAGAAGGCCUUCGGGUUGUAAAGUACUUUCAGCGAGGAGGAAGGCGUAAUAACCGCAGCGAUUGACGUUACUCGCAGAAGAAGCACCGGCUAACUCCGUGCCAGCAGCCGCGGUAAUACGGAGGGUGCAAGCGUUAAUCGGAAUUACUGGGCGUAAAGCGCACGCAGGCGGUCUGUCAAGUCGGAUGUGAAAUCCCCGGGCUCAACCUGGGAACUGCAUCCGAAACUGGCAGGCUAGAGUCUUGUAGAGGGGGGUAGAAUUCCAGGUGUAGCGGUGAAAUGCGUAGAGAUCUGGAGGAAUACCGGUGGCGAAGGCGGCCCCCUGGACAAAGACUGACGCUCAGGUGCGAAAGCGUGGGACAAACAGGAUUAGAUACCCUGGUAGUCCAGAGGACCCUUCGACUUGGAGGUU
rnacentral:rRNA from 1 species